GCCGGCAGGCGGAACCGGGGGCGCACCGCUGACCACCGCUCAGUUACCGUGCAAUGAGUGCAAUGAACGCGCUAAGGUCCAGCACCAGCUUCCCGGUCCGCUGGAGUUGCCAUGGUGUUGGGCUCCGUGCGCUGCGUCCCCAAUGAGACAAUGCAACAGACAGACGGAGGGUGAUAACAUGUGGGAGCAGGCAGCAGCGAGGAGGAGCCACUUGCACCAGAGCUGCACAGGGAUUGGUCGGGGAAGUUUUUCGAAUGGACGCAUGGAAAAAUCCCCGGAGUGUCCAACUUGAGUGUACAGUGUGCCUGAGGACAAAUAGUCACAUUCCUCAAGUGUUCCCAUAGGGAUAGUGUGUCUGUGGUGGUGAGUCUGUUAGUGACCUCAUCAGAUUGUAUCACUCUUUGUAUCAUUAGGUAUGAAGGUGCUGCAGAAUUUGAUGUGAAAUAGGCUAUGUUUGGAAAAGUAUCCUUCUGAACAAGGCUGGAUUACUAAGAAAGCAAGGCAGGCUAUUGUGCAGGGCCCCCAGACCCUCAGGGGCCCUAAAAGCCUCGUCCAACAUCACAAGUUUAAAAAAAAAAAAGAAAAGUAUCGGUUCUUGAGUGCCUCUUCAGCUUAGGGGUUAAAAAGCUAACCACAAAGCCGGCCAGGGACCUUUACACUGUUAUAUAUUGUAGUAUAAUGCACAUAUUUUUACAUAUUUCUCAUUUUCCUUAUAAUUUCCCUGUGCAUAUUUCUCACAUGAACAUGAGCAACUGUAAUGUGACCCAAUUCUCCCUCAGGGAUCAAUAAAGUAUUCUGAUUCUGA